rnacentral:lncRNA from 1 species
CACUGGCCUUGACACACCUCAGCAUUCCCACUCCACACCACACAGAUUGUGAAUGUGUGGGCUUCAGAGUCCUUGUCUGGAGACCUUGAAGCGUGGGGGCUUCUCGUUUGGGAGAAUGAGAGGCAGCAAAAGGAAAAAAAGAAAAACCCUGAACAGAUAAGGAACGUUUCCACAAGCAGGAACAAGUCGUUCUGAAUUUCUCCCUUCUUUGGUUUGCUGCUUCUGACGUCUGCGUGGUGUCAGAUUGGAGAUAAUAACUGUAACUGCUUUAAAGUUGACCAGGAGGAUUUGGAUGUAAAACAGCAUGAACUUUGGAAAGGAAUCCCAGUUUAGUGCAUCAUUGUAUCAAAGAAAAUGAGUCUUUUCUUGUUCUCCAAAAGCUCCUGCACAGGUGUGCUGAACGGCUGCAAACCCAAGGAUAAACAGGAGAAAUGCUGAGUAAGCACAGACAACAGCUACUAUGUCUUUGCUAAACAUCUUCAAGGUCUCUUUGGAGGGAUAAAUGCUCAGCAGGCGCGGCGUUCCCAGGAGACAUGGGUCUGGACGCAGACAGCCUGCAGGUCCCAGCAUGCAGUGAGGCAGCAGCGGCCGUUGCACUCGCUGUUCCUUUUUCCUAUGCAUAUACUUCUUUGACAUGUAACUUUAAAGAGGCAUAAGGCAUGGGAAAAUGGGGCUGCAGAGGUUUUCCACAGAGCGGACCAAAGCGCCUGCAGACUCUGAGCACCGCUGUCCUGCUCACAUCACAGAGGAGAAAGUACAGAAUAAGACUCAAAGGUGAUUUAUCCUUUGUGGUGAUUCAUUAAUUUGAUAUUUUUAAUGUAAUGAAUCAGUUAAAUCUUCAGGCAUUGCAAAUACUGACAUAUAUGUUUUAUUAUUGUCAUAUUUGUUUUUUUCUCUGAUCUUUUCAUUAAUAAAAACAUGUUUUUGAUUAUAAAAAAACUUGUUGAAUUUUAUGAAUAAAGCUUUUAUUGUUUUAAAGACUUUUUGCACAUCAUAUAAACUUUAAUGAUAAACUAUUAUUAAUAACUUUGAAUCUUAGAUGAAUAAAUAUAACAUAAAACACAUGGUCAGGACUCUAGCCAAUGCAUCAUUCCUAAAAAAUCAAAUUAGAUCUAAAAACAGUAGUUAACAGAAAUGAAUGUUUGCCCUUUUCUGAUGAAAAAACUGGAAACAGUGAAAAAUGUAAAUUAGUAGUUAAGUCAUCCUGAAGAGGAAUGAACAAAGUUCAGAAUAGAUCAAAAUCAUUAACUUUAAACCAAGUAACUUUGUUUAACAAAUUAAAUAAAUAAAUUUUAAACGGUCCCUCUAAAACUAAAAGUUAAAUAAUAUUUCUUUUGGAAUCAAACUUGAAUAGCAAUAAAGCUGGAAAAUAAAAGUUUUGAUUUCUGCUGAGGCUUAUAGCCAAAACCUCAUUUAAAGUAAAAACCCAAAUCAAACAAAAGGCUUCAUCUUUAUUUGAUCUUUUGUCCGUUUUCCUUACAUUUCUUCGCUCUUCUGUUUAUUUUGGUAAACUUUUUUUCUCCAAUGCGUUAAUAAUUUUAAAUUAUUUUGGAAUUUCACCAAAGGUGUAAAUCAAAUGAUAUCUACUGCUUUUCUGUAGUUUAUAACACUGGGUAGACUACUUUUUUUGUGUUAAAAUUAGUUUUCACUCUUAACUUGUGGCUAAAUAAUUAAUAGUCACAAUUGUUACACAGAAAAUAGCAGUUUGGCUGCAAUUGUGCUGGAUAGACAGCUAUUCCUGGAAAUUACAUAAAGUGGGGGUUUAAAUGAACAUUUUUAGGUUAAAAAGAGAGUUUUUACUUCUAAUUUGUUGCGUUAACUGUUUAAAAAAUCAUAUGUUGACUUUAUAGCAGCCUAUGCAGUUUUCCUGCUGCAGGUUUACUGACCCUUCAACCCACCUGAUUUAAAAGAGAUCCAUUUAAUCUCAUUGUCAUUCACUCAGCCACUCUUGAUCCCCUCAUUGAGGAUCAUUUAUUGAUACGCCUGUUAGCACCAGGAGGGAUUACUGCAGACAGAAACCUCAUAAAUGUAUGAUGUGUAGCAAACCAAGAUCAAGAUCCUUCACUACUGUGCCUCUCAGUUCUCAAUCUCAAAAAAAUAAUCAGGCUUUCAGACGGAGUCUGGAAUCUGAUUAUCUGCAUUUAGUACACACAGUCAGGAUUGUGAAACCCAAUCAAAGGAAGUGAGCAGAGCAUGGAACCUUCUGAUGAAACCUUUUUAGCAACUGUUAACUAAUGACUUCAAGGUGAGGCCGUUUGCACUCGGGCCAGACAUCAGGGCACCGUCUCUUUGCCUGUUUCAAGUAAGUGUGAAUUGUUCGGUCACCACACAAUCAAGCAUGAUGGAUGUCAGUGAUCUGGCUGUUGCAUUUCUUUUGAAGUUCCUCUGAAGAUGCUAAUCUGGGCCGGCUCAGGCCCUCUUUCAGCAUGCAGGUGAAGUCACAGCCUCUCUUUUAUUUUUAUUAGUAUUUUACAGGCCUUUAAAUUCUGAGCUAAGACAACGUGUUGCUGAAGCAACAUGAAUGACAUUUUCAAAAUAAACUUUCUGAUAGAGACACCCCCCCUCCCCAUUCUCCUUUCACACACCACUUUCUGCUCAAUUUUUUCAGGCAAGCAAUGGAAUUUCUUUUAUUUUAUUUAGCAUUAACUUCUGCUUUAGACACUUUCUGGAAUUAGUCUUAACAUAAAUCUAUCUUUGAAUAUCUCAACAAGCGCGCAGUUGUAACAAAAAUCCUGUUUAUGGGUGAGUUCAGACAUGGAGGAAGAUCGAUCUCCACAUCAGUUCCUGUUAGCAAACUGCUCAGUUAAAUAAUAUAAAUCAAAUUCAUUUACGCUUCCUAAUCAUUUAAAGCGAAUAUGUUCUAACGCUUUACUGUCUCUCAUUUGAAUCAUGUCUGAGCUGCUGGGAGGGAGCGGCUGCCGCUGCGGGAGGGGGCCGCAGAUGGCCGGGAGCUGUCCACCAGGACAGGGUGCUGAAUCAGAAGGGACGCCAGCAGACAGACUGGCACCGUUACAAAGCCUGCGCUGCGUGUUCAGCUUUCUGUUCUGAAUUCACGUUUCGAUUUGCGGGAGCGCACGUGCGUAAAAGACUGACCUGACGCAGAAACGUUAAAUAGGACAACAUCACUGCAAAUGCCAGCCACACAGCAGACAAGCUGACUGUGAACUAUCUGAGUGUCGGACAGAUUCCGCUGAUCUUUUCUGCGUGGCGCCGUG